UACGUAGGGUGCGAGCGUUAAUCGGAAUUACUGGGCGUAAAGCGUGCGCAGGCGGUUCGUUAAGUCAGACGUGAAAGCCCCGGGCUCAACCUGGGAACUGCAUUUGAAACUGGCGGGCUUGAGUGUGGCAGAGGGGGGUGGAAUUCCGCGUGUAGCAGUGAAAUGCGUAGAGAUGCGGAGGAACACCGUUGGCGAAGGCAGCCCCCUGGGCCAACACUGACGCUCAGGCACGAAAGCGUGGGGAGCAAACAGG
rnacentral:rRNA from 1 species